UACAGAGGGUGCGAGCGUUAAUCGGAAUUACUGGGCGUAAAGCGCACGUAGGUGGCGACGUAAGUCGGGUGUGAAAGCCCCGGGCUCAACCUGGGAAUGGCAAUGGAAACUGGCGGGCUGGAGUAUGGCAGAGGGGGGUGGAAUUCCGCGUGUAGCAGUGAAAUGCGUAGAGAUGCGGAGGAACACCGAUGGCGAAGGCAGCCCCCUGGGUCGACACUGACGCUCAUGCACGAAAGCGUGGGGAGCAAACAGG
rnacentral:rRNA from 1 species